CUUCUGUCGUUAUUUCUCCUCCGGUGUGCCUGGAUUGCAUUUGGCUGUGCUGCAGACAGUUACAUCACGAGCCAUGCUCUUCUGCACUGCGUUCUGCAGAUAUUUCUACUGACUGCUCUGCAGCUUUCAAUUCUAAAUUCGUUCAAUUAUAACCGCCGCUUAAACAACAUUAUUCACGUCAGGAAAGAAUAAGUCUGGGGCAGUCUUUCAUGGAAAUCUCAUCUUUGUCUACAACCACCAAUUGAUCAAACCUUUGAAAAAUGUUUGGGGGGUGCAGAUACCCUGCCACACCCCACAAUGCUGUAUUCUCUGAACUAGUAUCGCAGCUGCAGUAUCAGGGUGGUGUGUGACCCCACCCAAAAACUACACCCUUGUUCAUCUCUACUGAGUAUAAUGAUGCGUGGACCAAGCACAUGGGGAAAAACUGGUUACAGCAUCCAAGCAGCUCACAAAUGUUGUCGGAGUUGAAUUGUUAAGAAGAAACACACCAACGCUGAAUACUGUGCUCCUGGCAAGAAUUUCAGCUAAACAUUACCUUACAACGGAAUUGAAAUACUUCUCGGUGUUAUUCCCCACAUUGCUAUUCUGGAAACUCUGGUGAAUUCAAUGACGAUUGUCAACUGAGGACUGUCUCCGACCGUAGGAAAAAAUACCUUUUCAAUUGCGCAGGCGUCAUAUUUUGCGCAAGCUUCGAGGCACAUAUUCCCGUUCCUGGAAACUUCCGAAGUCUUACUCUGAGUGACCAGCAUUACGGCUUAUCUUGACGUCAUGAACAGAAUUUGCAUUUGAACGUCUUUAAUACCUACAACGCACGCCAGGAACCCCAUUACCGCGUAGGUUAUAGAGAAAGCAGUUCAAAGGAACUGGCCUCUCCACAAGAUACGACACUGUCUAUGGGAAUAAUUGGCUAUUAAUAAUAAUAUUAAGGAAACUUACUACUUAAUAAUGUCAUUCUAGAGCAUCACGAAACAUUAAUAAAUAUUGUUAUUAAUAUUUAAAUGUUGUGUCUCAGUCUUAAGUAAUCGGUGGGUAUUUGUAAGAUUUUUAUUCCAUUGUAUUCAAUGUUCUUUAAAAAUGACACUAAAUAAAUGAGAUGGUUAUUGCGAGAAACUUCGAAAAAGAAAUCAGUUCGUACCCAGAUUGUU